GUUUUCUACUUUCGUUUUUUUUGAUACGAUUCCACCCGCAUCUGUGCGACAGUUUUUAAAACACGUUUUUGAAACGACUUAUAUGGAUGAAUUAAGCAAUGUGAUGGAUGUUUUACACGUCCGAGGAGUCAGUAUGGAACUAACAGAAAUUCUAGAUGAUACAAAAGAUGAUGUGUCAAUGACAAAGAGAAUAGCAAUGUUAGAUGGGGAGAAGUAUGAAUUGGAAUCUCCAACUCUUCAAAUAUGGUACAAGCUGGACGUUGUGCAGAUCUUCUCAAGUUACCUGUAAACUGGCACUCAUAUGCCUUCAUAGAUUUAUU